GGGCUAAGGGACGCCCUUCCCGAACGGUGGACAGAUGAGCACUUUUUAUGGGUGUGAGAUGUAAAUCUUCUUUAAACAAGUGCUCUCUCGAAUCCUUUGCUUGUUUUAGAAAUUGGGCUGCUUUUCUCCUCUUUGUCUCCCCUUCCUCCUCCUUUCCCUCUUCCUCCCUUCUUCCUCUCACUAUUUAGCCCGGGUUAGUCUGGACUCAUGAUCCUCCUGCCUCAGCUUCCCAAGUGUUGGGAUUGGAGUAUAGGCACCCAUCACCACACCCCAUCACCACACCCCAUCACCACACCCCAUCACCACACCCCAUCAGCACACCCCGCUGGGGCUAUCUGCCUUCUCAUGGUUCAGUUGUGCCUGCCUCAUCCUUUUCUGCCCUCCCAUCCUGAUGAACAGCAGACACAUGGCAGGGGCCUCCUGCUCCCUCUUCUUCUUUCUUGAACUCCAGUCUGUCCUGUUUUCAUCUGCCUAUCCAGCCUGACCACAAACUCCCCCUCCCAGGACCCUGUCUUCCUGGGGAGACGAGCGGCACCCAUCACAGUCUGAGCGUCUUGGCUCACCAAACUUCCAUGCAAUGUGACUCUCACACCCGCAGUGGGGACAAAUAUGACAAUUGUCCCCACUCUCGGGUGAGACAGCUGGGUGGGGUGGGGUCUCUCAGGGAAAGCAGAUCCUGAGGCCUCCCACAAUGCCGGCCUAACUCCUCAAUGCCUGGAGCGCCGAGGGCAUCCCCUGAAGGGGUCCAGCUCCCACAGACAAGCGACUCACCUCCAUCACCCGCUGCAGCAUGGGCUGCAGCCACUCCACGUUCACCUCACAGUGGCUAUCGAGAAAGGGUCAUUCCCCGAGUGCCCUUGAUGCUCUAGAUACAGAUGGGCAGUCAAGCUGAGUGAGUGGGGCUGGAGUUUGCUACUGACGGACCGGAUGACAAAAUCUAUCCCCUUGAGACCCUUCGUGGUUUCCUCGGGCCACACAACCAGAUGUGACCGGGAGAGAAUCUUAACGCAGAAUGGGAACAAUGGCUGUCACGGCUAAGUUGGAGACUGUCAGCCAAGCCGAUGCCUGCCACAGUCCUCCAGCGAAGAAGGGCUGCGAGCACCAUGUACCUGUCAGCUCCUGCCUUCGGCUGCGGCUGCUCGGCCUGCCAUGUCCUCCCUGGCUCUCCGUCACCUGUCUCAGGAGGCGCCGGCUACUCCUCCCCACACUGAGGCCCGCUCCUCCAGAGAUGUCCUUCCUGCUCAUCCCGCUCCCUCUCCUCUAUCUUCACACUUUUCACAGAGGCAUAACCUGCCUGUGGUGAGGGUCAUUCUGAUCCCCUGGGCACAAACUAAACAUUACUAGGACAGGAACCGCACUUGGGGCUUCUCGUGCCCCAAGCUGGACACUACACUGCGCUAUCACAGAUGGUCUGAAACACCCUCUGAUUGAUUGGUCAUGCCUUUCUCCUUCCCUUUGUUUUUUUUCCGGAGCCCUCUACCACUAGCCUCUUGUUCAUCCUUAUAGCAACCUUAGAAGGCAGAAAAGUGCCAGCACUGCCCCAUUUCUCAGAAGAGACAACCAAGGCAGCCAGACAGGCUUUAGGAUAACACAGUGCCCAAUGGGAGUGGGGGAGGUGAGAAGAUCGCCAUGACCCAGCUCCAGGGUAGGAACUCAGAUCCAGCACUCACCUUCCCGCCUGUCAUUUCGAAGGCACUUGACCUUGGGGAUCCUAGUCAGAAGCAAGCAGUCUUCAGCUGAGGGCAAAGAGGGGGGUGGGUAAAACAAGCUCAUUUAGAUAUGGGCAUCAGAUCACAGCUGAAGGGUAGCCCUGUCCCCACUCCUUGGCCAAGUGAGGAACACCAGGGCCUAGGAACCCAACUCUAGCCCAGCGGGCACCAGAGAGCACCUGCCAUAUUUAAAGGGACUCUUCUUCCUAUGUAACUAUAAAGGAUGCUGUGGAUAUUGUUCCAAGGGUGUGUGUGUCUGUGGAUAUUGUUCCAGGGGUGUGUGUGUGUGUGUCUG